rnacentral:tRNA from 1 species
GCCGAGGUGGUGGAAUGGUAGACACGCAGGCUUCAGAAGUCUGUGUCCGCAAGGGCGUGGAGGUUCGAGUCCUCUUCUCGGCA